CACCAUUUUUGGCAAUGGUAGAACUCACACCGGUAAGGUAAUGGGACCCGGUGGUUCUAGACUUGCCAACUAUGGUG
rfam:Mus musculus chromosome 6, GRC primary reference assembly.